rnacentral:rRNA from 1 species
UAAGGAAUAUUGGUCAAUGGACGCAAGUCUGAACCAGCCAUGCCGCGUGAAGGAUGAAGGUCCUCUGGAUUGUAAACUUCUUUUAUCUGGGACGAAAACGGGAUUUUUAUCUCAAUUGACGGUACCAGAGGAAUAAGCACCGGCUAACUCCGUGCCAGCAGCCGCGGUAACACGGAGGGUGCGAGCGUUAUCCGGAUCUACUGGGUUUAAAGGGUGCGUAGGUGGGCUUAUAAGUCAGUGGUGAAAUCUCCGAGCUUAACUUGGAAACUGCCGUUGAUACUAUAGGUCUUGAAUUAUCUGGAGGUAAGCGGAAUAUGUCAUGUAGCGGUGAAAUGCUUAGAUAUGACAUAGAACACCGAUUGCGAAGGCAGCUUACUACAUAUAAAUUGACGCUGAGGCACGAAAGCGUGGGGAUCAAACA